UACUUUAGCUGAAAGAUUGCAUCGUGUC
rnacentral:piRNA from 1 species